UUCCCUACGGGGGGCAGCAGUAGGGAAUCUUCCACAAUGGACGAAAGUCUGAUGGAGCAACGCCGCGUGAGUGAAGAAGGGUUUCGGCUCGUAAAGCUCUGUUGUUGGAGAAGAACGUGCGUGAGAGUAACUGAUCACGCAGUGACGGUAUCCAACCAGAAAGUCACGGCUAACUACGUGCCAGCAGCCGCGGUAAUACGUAGGUGGCAAGCGUUAUCCGGAUUUAUUGGG
rnacentral:rRNA from 1 species